AAGCUUAUCAGGUGCAAUGAAAACAUUUUUUCCUAAUAAAUGAGAUAUAAAUAACGGAUGAUUCGAUUCCAUUUAUUUAUUCUCGUAAUACAUUCAAUCAAGUGAAUUCCACAGCAAUUGAGAAAAUGAACUCCUUCUCAGUGAUGAUAUUGAUCAUGUUUUUCCUUCAAUGUUAUGCCGAAAGAGAAAUGAUACCCCUAGAUGAUGAGGACUGCAGAUCCGAUGGUUGCCGGUUCAAAUCCCCCGCAGCUGACCAACAAGACGUGAUUUUUCAACCACAUAAAAUUGUUACAAGAAGAACAAGGUGUAAUUCCUCAUGUGUUGGAAUUCCAACGACUGAUUAUUGCAGAACCUGUUGGAAAGUUGGUUAAUUCAUGCUCAUGCAUCGGUGUUAAUAUGCAACAGCAUAUAUCUAGUGGCAAUGAUGCUAUUUAUACACAUGGAUAUUUAUGAAUAUAAUAAAAAUGAAUGUUAAAUUAAA